ensembl:lncRNA
GUGAGCACUGCUCUCCUUAUUCUCUUUGUCCUCUGUGAAGGGCUGGGGGUGUUUUGGUCAGUAUGGCUUCAAGGCACCAAGGAGAGGUGCUGGCCUCAGUUCUUCCAUGUUCAGGAUGGUGAACCUUGGUGCUGGCCGUAGGGGCCCCACAUCACAGUGCCACUUGUGGUUAUGGCCCUGUCCUGCAGUAGAAGGUCCUUUCCUGUCUCCGUGUGUAAGCUACAUUCAUGCUGAAUCACAGUGGCAUUCCUUCCUUUGGGCAGCAGGCACUCAGAGACUUGUUGGGCUGUCCUGACUCAGUGCUCAGGGCUGUGCGCAAAGGAAAUGUUCUCCUGAGGUUCCCUGCUGUGCUCAGAUCUGCUCCUGAAGCAGGAGAUGUAGUGAUCUCAACUUCAACACGGAUAAUUACAAUUGUAGUUCCUGCCCCUUCAGUGAUGCAGUGGAUGAUGCAACCAUGCCAACAACCUGCUGUGGAUGAUGCAAUCAGGCUGACAACCUACUGUGGAUGAUGCAAUCAGGUUGACAAGCAGAGAUCAUGGAGAGGUUCUAAGUCCAGGAUGGAAUAAGGAGGGAAAACCUAAAACUACAACAAAACCAAAUAGUGCACCCUAAAAACAGGGUUUCUGUGGCAGAAACUUGUUUGGAUGUGGAGCUCAGUCAGGGGAUAUGGGCAAGGGAGCACCACGGAUGGGCUACGCAUGCUGGAGCCUCCAUGCUGGGGAACAUCCACUUGGCACCUUUCUCUAGGCUGUAGCCCUCUGUACUUCAGCCAUCUCAGCCCACAGUUCUGCUGAGUCCAAGGGCUUCAGGGAAACGAGGAGGAGUGAGUCUCUGGGGUUGGUUUGACAAGGGAUGGCAAGAAGCAACACCAAAGAUAAGUACAAGUAUAUCUGGGCAGGAAGACAUGAAGCUGAGCUGCUGCAGGUGCCCAUAGUGGCAGAUGAUGUGGCUGUGGAUGAUGGGUGGCUUGGGAGGUUCAGGGUAGACACUGGGAGAGGAUUCUUCCAGGAAGGUGGUGCAGCACUGCACCUGGGACAGUCAGGGACUCCCCAUCCUUGAGGGUUUUUAAAACUGAGCUAGAGAAAUCCAUGGCUGAUCUGAGUUAGCACUGGUAACAGCCCUGCUUCUCAUGGGGCACAGGACCAGCGGUGUCCGGAGAUCUGUUCCAGCUGACACUUCUGUCACUGUACUUACAUUAAAACUAAAUAAACAUGGUCUGAUGUUGACUUAACCUUCCCAGCGAGCAUGUUGAUCUGCUUUUAUUGACAUGCUUCUUCCUAGAAUCUGAUCCUCACUAAAAAUGAGUGAAAAUGGGGGGUGUCCUAUGUGUUACCUGGAGAGGCACACGAGUUGGGUUUUUGGUUCCAUCCCUCAGGCUGUGGGACAGCUGGCACAGGCAGCACACUCGCUCCUAUGAUGACACAGUGACACAAUACCACCCCUUACCAAGCUCUGUAGAUGCAAUUACUGGGAUAAGGUUUUCCAGAGAACGACCUCUCCUUGCAGUCAUGGUCUUGAAUGGCCCUUCAGCACGUGCUUCUGGUGUGCUUUUGCACUUCAACAGCUGCUUUAGCAGGCUAUGGUUAGUGAAUGCUCAGGGAGUCUGGCGCCAGAUGUUCAUUCCCUAAACCGUGAGAUGUAAUAACACAUUUCUGCCUCAUUGCAGUCACAAAGCAGGACCUCUGUGUGCACAGCCUGGGGGACUCCUUCCAGACCUGGGGUUAAAGCUCUGCCAGAGCUGCUUCCUGCCGUUAUCCUGUCCCUU